GGGUCGUUAGCUCAGUUGGUAGAGCACCGGACUUUUAAUCCGUUGGUCGCGCGUUCGAGCCGCGCACGACCCACCA
rnacentral:tRNA from 11 species